AAGUUACCCACACCUUCUGCCACAAUCUGCUUCUCUGCAAGAUGGAUCAGCUGUCUCACAUGGAGCCUUGAACAUGAAAACCAGGAAAUAUGAGGACCUGGCUCAUGCCACACUGCAAGUGAAUGGUGCUUAAGAGGAGAACAGGAAGCGCUCAAUAAAUGCCAUGAAGAUGCAAGAGGGACACAUCUAAACUGAACCAGAGAACUUCCUGGAGAAGCUGAUGCUGGAAUAGAGACUUAAAGGCUGAAGAAGUCGUCUCCUUCUCUCCCUCUCUCCAGUCCUCUCCCUUCCAGCUGGGACUCACCCUCCACGGCUCUGUGCCCUGGCCUACUACCCCCAGAGACUCGGAGAGCGCUCCAUGCAGCUGAGAAGGAGUGGAAGACACAGAACGAGCACAGUAACACACUUGUGCAUUCAAACAGUCUGAGGAGCAGUUGUCCAGCCCAAAGAAGCACCUAACUGCGAGUCGAAACAUCUGGUUUGUCCUAAUUCUCAGAGACGGUUUGAGCAAGUCAUUUCCCUUCUCUGGGCCACCAAGUAUUCACUACUAGAACAUGGAAGACUGGCUAGGAUGAACCUUAAGGAAUCAUUCUGCUCUAACUUUCUGGAAUCUAGGGUUCUACAGAGAUGACAAAGAGCUAGCUAAAGAUUUAGGACAUUACACAACCAAUCCCAUGCUUUAGCCCAAGGAUCUAGGAAACCAGAAAGGGACAGGAAACCUGUAAGUGGCUGCAUCCAUGAA